UACGUAGGGUGCAAGCGUUAAUCGGAAUUACUGGGCGUAAAGCGUGCGCAGGCGGUUUUUGUAAGUCAGAUGUGAAAUCCCCCGGGCUUAACCUGGGAACUGCGUUUUGAAACUACAAGGCUAGAGUGUGGCAGAGGGGGGGUGGAAUUCCACGUGUAGCAGUGAAAUGCGUAGAGAUGUGGAGGAACACCGAUGGCGAAGGCAGCCCCCCUGGGUUAACACUGACGCUCAGGCACGAAAGCGUGGGGAGCAAACAGG
rnacentral:rRNA from 1 species